AGUUUUAUAGUCAAAUUAUGAUAUUAAAUUGCAAAUUUAAAGUUGGAUAAAAUAAAUUCUAAAACUU
rnacentral:tRNA from 1 species